ACGAACGCUAGCGGCGUGCUUAACACAUGCAAGUCGAGCGGUAAGGCCCUUUCGGGGGUACACGAGCGGCGAACGGGUGAGUAACACGUGGGUGACCUGCCCUUAGCUCUGGGAUAAGCCUGGGAAACUGGGUCUAAUACCGGAUAUGACUCCAUGACGCAUGUUGUGGGGUGGAAAGCCUUGUGCGGCUAGGGAUGGGCCCGCGGCCUAUCAGCUUGUUGGUGGGGUGAUGGCCUACCAAGGCGACGACGGGUAGCCGGCCUGAGAGGGCGACCGGCCACACUGGGACUGAGACACGGCCCAGACUCCUACGGGAGGCAGCAGUGGGGAAUCUUGCGCAAUGGGCGAAAGCCUGACGCAGCGACGCCGCGU
rnacentral:rRNA from 1 species